rnacentral:sRNA from 1 species
AUGUUACAAAAAGCUGCAAUAGAGGAGGUGUCGAUCUUAACUCUGUCUCCGGGAUUUUAUUCCCGUCUUUUUCUGGUUCCAAAGAAGACUGGAGGAAUGAGGCCGGUCAUAGACCUAUCUAUUCUGAACAAAUUUCUUAUUGUUCCCCACUUCAAAAUGGAAACAAACAGAUCCAUCAGGGCUUCAAUCCUUCCAGGAAUGUGGACUACUUCUCUGGAUCUUUCAGACGCGUAUUUCCACAUUCCCAUUUCCCAAACUUACAGGAAAUACCUUCGCUUCGUUUGGAACAACAAAGUUUUCCAGUUCAAGGCUCUCCCUUUUGGCCUGUCUACAGCCCCUUUGGCUUUUACCAAAAUCAUGCAGGCAGCUAUAGCUCACCUACAUUCCCUGUCUAUUCAGAUUCAUUCCUACCUGGACGAUUCCCUUCUCAAGGAAUUUUGCCCAAUCAAAUUGAGGGUUCAGACAGAUUUGGUCAUCAAUUGUUUUCUGUCCCUAGGUUUCCUUAUCUCUUGGAAAAAGUCAGAGAUAAUUCCGUCUCAAGACUUUGUUUUCCUGGGAGAACAUUUCCUAACCAGUGUAGGCCUAGUCCUCCCACCAGAGGAGAAAUUUACAAAACUAUGUCAGAAAAUACAUUUAUUCCUGACGGUUCAAUCAGUCACAGCACGUCAAUUCUUGCAACUUCUGGGUCUAUUGAACUCUCUGGCAGAUGUAAUUCCAUUGGGACGACUUCACAUUCGUCCGCUUCAGUUUUAUCUGCACAAGUUAUGGAUUGCAGCUUCACAAGAAUGGGAAGCAUUGAUUCCAAUCACUCAGCCUUUAUUUCCACACCUUCAAUGGUGGUUAGUACGGGAAAAUGUAAUGAGGGGCCUAUGUCUGUUCCCUCAAGUUCCCAGUCUAACAUUAUUCACAGAUGCCUCCACCCUCGGUUGGGGAGCAUAUCUGGAGGGGCUUACAAUCUCGGGAGUCUGGAGUCCAGAUCUUUUGGAAGAGCAUAUCAAUGUAUUGGAAAUGAAAGCAGUUCUGUUUGCACUGAAUCAUUUCCAAAUGUCUCUAAAGAAUCAGUCUGUCAUUCUGGCCACGGACAACACAACAGUUGUAGCUUAUCUCAAGAAUCAGGGAGGAACUCAUUCACCUUCUCUUUAUCAGAUAGCCAGAGACAUUCUCCUUCUGUGUUUUCAACUCCAGGUUCAUCUAGUGGUGAGACAUAUUGCGGGGCACCUCAAUAUUCUAGCCGACACUCUAUCCAGAUCCCUUGCUCCAGUAAACACGGAGUGGGAACUACUUCAAGUAGUUUUCAAAGCUGUGACUCUUCAUUGGGGGUCACCUCAGAUAGAUCUGUUUGCGACCAGUCUCAAUCACAAACUUCUAACAUUUGUGUCUCCGGUUCCGGAUCCAAAAUCUUUUGCGGUAGACGCAAUGAGCCUAUCUUGGAAAGGAAUGUUCGGGUACGCCUUCCCUCCUUUCAGGUUUCUCUCCCCAGUACUUCAGAAAAUAGCAGGGGAAAAUUGCAAGAUCAUAGUUAUUGCUCCAGCAUGGCCAAAACAGUCUUGGUUUCCAGACCUUCUGCGCCUUUCAUGUGCUUGUCCUCUAGUUCUACCUCUGAGACCAGACCUUCUGUCUCAAAUCAAGGGCAAGGUUCUUUAUCAAAAUCCAGAAAAACUUCAUCUACACGCCUGGCUUCUCUCAGGGUUAGCCUCAGAAAGAGAGGUUUUUCUGAAGGAGCAACCAAGCAUCUCACAAAGUCUGUCAGAGACUCCACUAGCAUUGUCUAUGAUGCAAAAUGGUCAAUCUUCUCAGAUUGGUGUAGUGAGCGGGAAAUUGAUCCUUUCCAAGUCACUGUACAACAAUUAGCAGACUUUCUAGUUUUUCUUUUUGAAUCCAAAGGAUUAUGUCCCUCUACUAUUAAGGGAUAUAGAUCAGCUAUCUCAAGAACUAUUCAUAUUUCUGGUGGCCCAGAUUUUGGAAUCAAUGAGCAUAUUUCUCUUUUGGUUCGUAGUUUUAGUCUUGAAAGACCAAGACAAAAAACUUUAGUUCCUAAGUGGGACCUUGGACUAGUUUUAUCCUUUUUAAAACUUCCUCCUUUUGAACCAGCAGAAACAAUAGAUUUAAGGUUUCUUUCCUAUAAAUGCUGUUUUCUUUUAGCUUUGGCUUCUGGACGGAGAAGGAGUGAAAUCCAUGCCUUCUCUAUUUCUGAUGCUUGCCUUCGAUUUAACAGGGAUAAAUCUUCUGUUACUCUUUUAACGGAUCCUGCUUUUUUGGCAAAGAAUCAGAUUCCAGAUAAGGGUGCAGAACCAGUUGUGAUUCCUGCACUCCCUAGCGAUUCUAUUUCUGUACUUUUAUGUCCAGUAAGAAUCCUUUCUAUUUAUCUGGAAAGAACGUGUAGUUUACGUUCUGUUUCUAACUCAAGACUCUUUAUUCCUAUUAAAAAAGGAAUCUCAGAUCUUUCUGUUAAAACUAUUUCUACUUGGAUAUGCAAAUGCAUAUCUUUAGCUUAUGGUUCUUCUAAGGCAGAACUUUUAAAUAGUUUUAAUGUUAAAGCCCAUGAUGUUAGGGGUAUCUCUACAUCCUGGGCUCUGUUUAACAGUGCAUCUUUAGAAGAGGUACUGUCUGCAGGUUUCUCGAGAAAUGAGAACUCUUUUAUAUCUCACUACCUCCAAUCUAUGGCUACUUUUGCCGAGAGUUUAUACUCUCUUGGACCUAUAGUUUCAGCACAAAGAUUGAACUUUCCUCCUGUUUCUUCUGUUACAGGGGAUUCAGCUUUACGUUAG